rnacentral:rRNA from 1 species
GAGUACGACCGCAAGGUUGAAACUCAAAGGAAUUGACGGGGGCCCGCACAAGCGGUGGAGCAUGUGGUUUAAUUCGAAGCAACGCGAAGAACCUUACCAGGUCUUGACAUCCCGAUGCCCGCUCUAGAGAUAGAGUUUUACUUUUUGUACAUCGGAGACAGGUGGUGCAUGGUUGUCGUCAGCUCGUGUCGUGAGAUGUUGGGUUNNNNNNNNNNAACGAGCGCAACCCUUAUUGUUAGUUGCCAUCAUUAAGUUGGGCACUCUAGCGAGACUGCCGGUAAUAAACCGGAGGAAGGUGGGGAUGACGUCAAAUCAUCAUGCCCCUUAUGACCUGGGCUACACACGUGCUACAAUGGUUGGUACAACGAGUCGCAAGCCGGUGACGGCAAGCUAAUCUCUGAAAGCCAAUCUCAGUUCGGAUUGUAGGCUGCAACUCGCCUACAUGAAGUCGGAAUCGCUAGUAAUCGCGGAUCAGCACGCCGCGGUGAAUACGUUCCCGGGCCUUG